AGUGAACGCUGGCGGUAGGCCUAACACAUGCAAGUCGAACGGCAGCACAGUAAGAGCUUGCUCUUACGGGUGGCGAGUGGCGGACGGGUGAGGAAUACAUCGGAAUCUACUUUUUCGUGGGGGAUAACGUAGGGAAACUUACGCUAAUACCGCAUACGACCUACGGGUGAAAGCUGGGGAUCUUCGGACCUUGCGCGAUUGAAUGAGCCGAUGUCGGAUUAGCUAGUUGGCGGGGUAAAGGCCCACCAAGGCGACGAUCCGUAGCUGGUCUGAGAGGAUGAUCAGCCACACUGGAACUGAGACACGGUCCAGACUCCUGCGGGAGGCAGCAGUGGGGAAUAUUGGACAAUGGGCGCAAGCCUGAUCCAGCCAUACCGCGUGGGUGAAGAAGGCCUUCGGGUUGUAAAGCCCUUUUGUUGGGAAAGAAAAGCAGCAGGUUAAUACCCCGCUGUUCUGACGGUACCCAAAGAAUAAGCACCGGCUAACUUCGUG
rnacentral:rRNA from 1 species